rnacentral:tRNA from 1 species
GCCGGAGUGGCGGAACAGGCAGACGCAAGGGACUUAAAAUCCCUCGGCCCGCAAGGCCGUACCGGUUCGAUUCCGGUCUCCGGCACCA